rnacentral:rRNA from 1 species
AUUGAACGCUGGCGGCAUGCUUUACACAUGCAAGUCGAACGGCAGCACGGGGGCAACCCUGGUGGCGAGUGGCGAACGGGUGAGUAAUAUAUCGGAACGUACCCGGAAAUGGGGGAUAACGUAGCGAAAGUUACGCUAAUACCGCAUAUGCCCUGAGGGGGAAAGUGGGGGAUCCGCAAGGACCUCACGUUUUCGGAGCGGCCGAUAUCAGAUUAGCUAGUUGGUGGGGUAAAGGCCUACCAAGGCGACGAUCUGUAGCUGGUCUGAGAGGACGACCAGCCACACUGGAACUGAGACACGGUCCAGACUCCUACGGGAGGCAGCAGUGGGGAAUUUUGGACAAUGGGCGCAAGCCUGAUCCAGCCAUGCCGCGUGAGUGAAGAAGGCCUUCGGGUUGUAAAGCUCUUUCAGCCGGAAAGAAAACGCAUGGGUUAAUAACCUGUGUGGAUGACGGUACCGGAAGAAGAAGCACCGGCUAACUACGUGCCAGCAGCCGCGGUAAUACGUAGGGUGCGAGCGUUAAUCGGAAUUACUGGGCGUAAAGCGUGCGCAGGCGGUUUUGUAAGACAGAUGUGAAAUCCCCGGGCUUAACCUGGGAACUGCAUUUGUGACUGCAAGACUAGAGUACGGCAGAGGGGGGUAGAAUUCCACGUGUAGCAGUGAAAUGCGUAGAUAUGUGGAGGAAUACCGAUGGCGAAGGCAGCCCCCUGGGUCGAUACUGACGCUCAUGCACGAAAGCGUGGGGAGCAAACAGGAUUAGAUACCCUGGUAGUCCACGCCCUAAACGAUGUCAACUAGGUGUUGGGGGAGGAGACUUCCUUAGUACCGCAGCUAACGCGUGAAGUUGACCGCCUGGGGAGUACGGCCGCAAGGUUG